rnacentral:lncRNA from 1 species
GCCAAAUAAAAAUGCAAUUCAAUAUAUACAGCCUCAUGCAACACACAUUUCUAAAAUAAUCAUACAAUGCAUUACAUGAGCAAAACAUUAAAGCAAUUCAAAUCAACAACACUUAAACAAUCAAAUCCAAAAUACAAAACAUUUAUUAAUUAAUCCAACAACUACCAAAACACUUAAACAAUCCUAAAGUUUUUUCAUUAGAAUCUACAGGUGUCCGAGAUUUCUUUUUAGCAGUUGACUUCGAACUCUUAUCAGGACGAGGCCAAUCACCAUCACCACCGAAUGUCAUCUGUAUACAAGUUUACAUCAAAACAUAUAAAAAUCAAGUCAUUAGUUCAUAUUUCAUGUGACUACACUUACUAUUUUCAAGUUACUAAUACACAUUUCAAGAUAAAACAAUUAAACCAUUUUCAAAUAUCUAAUUGACAUUUUAUUUCACUAUACUUAACCAUUUUCAAAUAACUAGUAGACAUUUCAAGUAACUACUCUUAACCAUUUUCAAAUAACUAAUUCACAUUGCAAGUCACCACACUUAAAAUAUUUUCAAGUCACUAAUACACAUUUCAAAUCAUUACACUUGACUAUUUUCAAUUAACUAAAUCACACUUCAAGUCAAUAUACUUAAUCAUUUUCAAGUGACUAUACUUCAUUAUUUUAAAGUUAUUAGUACACAUUUCAAGUGACUACACUUAACCAUUUUCAAGCAUCAAGUUCACAAUUUUAAGUAACCACACUUAACCAUUUUUAAGUCACAAGUUCACAUUUUCAAGUAACAACACUUAACCCUUUUCAAGUCACUACAAUUAAUAAUUUUCAAAUAACUUAUUCACUAGUACACAUUUCAAGUCACUAAACUCAAAUCAUUUUCAAAUAGCUAAUUAACAUUUCAAGUCACUAUACUUAAGCAUUUUCAAGUAACUACACUUAACCAUUGUCAAAUAACUAGUAGACAUUUCAAGUCACUACACUUAACCAUGUUCAAAUAACUAAUUCACAUUUCAAGUAACUACACUUAACCAUUUUCAAAUAACUAGUAGACAUUUCAAAUCACUAAACUAAACCAUUUUCAAAUAACUAAUUCAUAUUUCACGUCACUACACUUGACCAUUUUCAAAUAAUUAAUUCACAUUUCAAGUCACUACACCAUUUUCAAAUAACUAAUUGACAUUUCAAGUCACUACACUUAAACAUUCAAUUUAAGUUACUAUACUUAACCACUUUCAAGUAACUAAUUCACAUUUCAAAUACCUAAACUUAACCAUUUUCAAGUCACAAGUUUGCAAUUUUAAGUAACUACACUAAACCAUUUUCAAGUCACUACACUUAAUAAUUUUCAAGUAGCUUAUUCACAUUUCAAGUCACUACACCAUUUUCAAAUAACUAAUUGACAUUUCAAAUAAUUACACACAACCAUUUUCAAGUCAUGUACUAGCAUUUCAAGUCACUACACUUAACUAUUUUCAAUUAACUAAUUCACAUUUUUAAGUCACUAUACUUAACUAUUUUCAAAUAACUACACAUAAUCAUUUUCAAGUCACUAGUACACAUUUCAAGUCACUACACUUAAUCAUUUUUAAAUAACUAAUUCACAUUGCAGGCCACUAUA